AUCAGAUAAAAGGAAAUUCCAGAGUUAAAAGAACGAAGAGAACCAUCCAUGAAUUAUCUCUGAUAUGUGUUAAAUUCAACUAACCAUGCAAUGGAUGGUUCUUUGAUAAGCUAGGUGGAACCUAAUUCGAGAAAAAGAACUGAGGGAGCAAUCCAUGAAGUAUUACAGAGACAUGCAAAUUUUAAGUAAACCCAUAAAUAUAUCAGCUCAAACAAGUAAAUCCAUUUAUUAUCUUCAAAGCAUGUUAAAUUCAACUAAAACUUGCAACAAAUGCUUUUCUUUAAAUAAGCUCAAAUAAAACCAAA
rnacentral:lncRNA from 1 species